rnacentral:rRNA from 1 species
AAGGUAUAUCCUGCCCUAUGGAUUUUCUAAAUGGCUGCAGUAUUUUGACUGUACAAAGGUAGCAUAGUAAUUAGUUUCUUAAUUAGGAACUUGUAUGAAUGGAUUUAUGAGAUAUAUGUUUUAUUUAUUUAAAUAUUAAAAUUUUAAUUUUAGGUUAAAAUGCCUAAUAGAUUUCUUGGGACGAUAAGACCCUAUAGAACUUUAUAUUUAUAUAAAAAAUUUCUUUUAAAUUUUUAUAUUAAAUUUUUUGUUUAAAUAUUUUGCUGGGGUGGUUAGUAAAUUUUAACUUUACUUUGAUUUUUCAUAAAUAUAUGUUAUUUUUGAUCCUUUACAAGAUUAUAAGAACAAGUUACCUUAGGGAUAACAGCGUAAUUUUAGUGGGGAGUUCAUAUCUAUACUAAUUUUGCGACCUCGAUGUUGAAUUAAGAAAAAUCUAAGAAGCAGAACUCUUAGUUUUAAGUCUGUUCGA